rnacentral:rRNA from 1 species
AAUGCUAAGAGAAUGGAAAUUCAGAAAAAAACUUUCUUUAAAUUAAAAAUUGAAGUUUUUUUAAUUUGUGCAGAAACAAUUAUUAAUAUUAAGGACAAGAAGACCCUACGAAUUUAUUAAAUUUUAUUUAAUAUGUAAUUACUAUUAAUAAAAUUUUGACUGGGGCGGUUAAAAAAUAUUUCAAACUUUUUAAAAAUAAAAUGACCCAUUAUUAGUGAUUUUAUGUUAAAUACUCUAGGGAUAACAGCGUA